rnacentral:lncRNA from 1 species
AGUGUGACUGGUAUCAUCACCAUCUUUGUGUUCUCAGAGGUAUCCAUCAAGAGAGACAAGAAAAGAAAAGGUUUCGGAUGGUUUUUGCUAUUUUUGGCAAAUUCUGGAAACAAAGAAUCAAGAACAAGAUGAACUUUGCCAAAAAUAGAAUUUAGAACUCAGAGAAUUUGCGGAAGAAAGAAAAAGGUUUAGGUCUCAAGAGUAAGGUUGCUCUGAUACCAUGAAAGAAUAUGAGAUUUGUUUAAGUCAUUAUGAGAAUUAUGAAGAAGGUGAAGAGAAUUGAGAGAGAGAGAGAGAGAGUGAAUCGCAUAAGACUAAAGAGAAGAGGAACUCAAUUUCUUGAUUCAUUUGGUUCUGGUUACAUGCCUUAAAUAGAUACAACAAUGAAUAAACUAAUGGCAAGUUGACAUAGAAGAAAAGAAUAAACAAAGGGGACUGAUCAAGGCAAGGUGCGCACAGCAAAGGUGGAAAGCGACAGCACCAAACGGCUCUCUCUCCUUUGAACCACCUUGUCCUCAUCUUCAACGGAUCCUUUCUCUUGGCCGACAUCAUUUAAAUAUCUUAAGGCAAGUAUCACAUCCUCCUUGAUCACAGAUAAGUCUCCUCUUGUCUUGCACGCCAAGUUAGAUCAAACUUGUACGGACAAGCACACUUUGAUCACUCCGGAUGCAUGUCUUGACUUGAUCUCUUCUUCCUCUAUGUCAUUCAUGCUCUCAUGUCAACAGGAGAUGAUGAAGAGGAUGUACCCGAACGAGGUGUUCCCGAACAUUCAAGACUCGUAGUUUU